AAUAUUGCGCAAUGGGGGAAACCCUGACGCAGCGACGCCGCGUGAGCGAAGAAGGCCUUCGGGUCGUAAAGCUCUGUUCUUGGGGGCGCAAGAAAUGACGGUACCCAAGGAGAAAGCCCCGGCUAACUACGUGACAGCAGCCGCGGUAAUACGUAGGGGGCAAGCGUUGUCCGGAAUUAUUGGGCGUAAAGGGUGCGUAGGCGGCCUUUUAAGUCAGAUGUGAAAGCCCACGGCUUAACCGUGGGACUGCAUUUGAAACUGGAGGGCUUGAGUAUCGGAGAGGGUAGUGGAAUUCCCAGUGUAGCGGUGGAAUGCGUAGAUAUUGGGAGGAACACCAGUGGCGAAGGCGACUACCUGGACGAAAACUGACGCUGAGGCACGAAAGCUAGGGGAGCAAAC
rnacentral:rRNA from 1 species